rnacentral:rRNA from 1 species
GGAUGAACGCUGGCGGCGUGCCUAAUACAUGCAAGUCGAGCGAACAGAUAAGGAGCUUGCUCCUUUGACGUUAGCGGCGGACGGGUGAGUAACACGUGGGUAACCUACCUAUAAGACUGGAAUAACUCCGGGAAACCGGGGCUAAUGCCGGAUAAUAUUUAGAACCGCAUGGUUCUAAAGUGAAAGAUGGUUUUACUAUCACCUAUAGAUGGACCCGCGCCGUAUUAGCUAGUUGGUGGGGUAAUGGCUUACCAAGGCAACGAUACGUAGCCGACCUGAGAGGGUGAUCGGCCACACUGGAACUGAGACACGGUCCAGACUCCUACGGGAGGCAGCAGUAGGGAAUCUUCCGCAAUGGGCGAAAGCCUGACGGAGCAACGCCGCGUGAGUGAUGAAGGUCUUCGGAUCGUAAAACUCUGUUAUUAGGGAAGAACAAAUGUGUAAGUAACUGUACACGUCUUGACGGUACCUAAUCAGAAAGCCACGGCUAACUACGUGCCAGCAGCCGCGGUAAUACGUAGGUGGCAA